rnacentral:tRNA from 1 species
GCCCGGGUCGCCUAGCCAGGAUAGGGCGCUGGCCUGCGGAGCCAGUUGUCAGGGGUUCAAAUCCCCUCCCGGGCG